AUUGAACGCUGGCGGAAUGCUUUACACAUGCAAGUCGAACGGUAGAGGGGGCAACCCCUUGAGAGUGGCGAACGGGUGAGUAAUAUAUCGGAACGUGCCCAGUCGUGGGGAUAACGUAGCGAAAGUUACGCUAAUACCGCAUACGAUCUACGGAUGAAAGCGGGGGAUCGCAAGACCUCGCGCGAUUGGAGCGGCCGAUAUCAGAUUAGGUAGUUGGUGAGGUAAAGGCUCACCAAGCCGACGAUCUGUAGCUGGUCUGAGAGGACGACCAGCCACACUGGGACUGAGACACGGCCCAGACUCCUACGGGAGGCAGCAGUGGGGAAUUUUGGACAAUGGGCGGCAAGCCUGAUCCAGCAAUGCCGCGUGCAGGAUGAAGGCCUC
rnacentral:rRNA from 1 species